CCCGCCUCGGGUAUCCAACUCAUGGUCUAGUCUCAGGUAGGAUCAAAAAACGCAGGCCAAGGUAAUAAAAUCCCCCAGCGUCUGUGUGUGUGUGUGAGAGAGAGAAAUGGAAGCACUGUUGGCGAAUUACGUAGAGAAAAGCCUGAAGCAAUACAUGAGACGAAACGCCAUUUUUCUCUGCGAACGCCUCUACGCCGAGUUUCCUUCCGAGGUGAAUUUACAAUUAUUGGCUAGAUGUUACUUGAAUAACAAUCAACCUCACUCUGCAUAUCAUGUUCUUAAAGGUAUGCAAAUGGCUCAGUCUCGUUACUUGUUUGCGGUCGCGUGCUUAGAGAUGGAUCUCUUUAGUGAAGCCGAAACUGCAUUGCUGCCUAUUGAAGAGCUCUGUGCUCAUGUUACUAAUGGUGCGGCUGUGCAAUAUCUUCUCGGCAUUAUACAUAGGGACACCAAUAGGAUGAAAAGUUCAGUUGAACACUUUAGAAAGGCUUUGUCAAUUGAUCCAUUGUUUUGGGCAGCAUAUGAGGAACUUUGUAUACUAGGUGAGGCAGAGGAAGCUGCUGUUUGUUUCGGUGAUGUGGCUAUUCAUUAUGUUCAAGAGCAUUAUCUAGGUAAUGCAUCAAGUUAUUUGCAAAUAGCCAAUAGUGAUCAAAGCUUGGAUUCUUCUCAAGCCUUUGGCUUAGAAGAUUUGAGUCUGAGCCAUUUACAACAAAUGGAAGGGAACAACAUUAGAAAUAUAUGUCUGAAUAAUCAUGGAGGACCUAAUUUAACUGGACCUGUUGGGCAAAUAACAAACAGCUGUUGCAAUUCAUCAUUUUUCAGGACUCCUUCCCCUGUGCUUACACAACUUUCAGAUAUGGCUCCACCGCCUCUAAUUAGAAACAUACGAUUUUGUCAAAAUGAAGUUUCUCUACGAUCCAGUACUCAAGCUCGAAGAGAAUUUGUUCGUGAAAAUGAAUCAGCACAGAUUCGUGGCAGUUUAUUUUUCGAUUCAGGACGCCGUCGAAGUGCAAGAUUAGCUGCGGCUCAGAGAAGCUUCAACUCGACACAAGGAUCAGAAAAUAAAGCAAACAAUUUGCGUGCUUCAAUUAAAUUGAAUUCUGGGACUUGCUAUUCAACAGUUUGUAAAGGCCAAUUUCAAAAUCUUGAGGAAGUAGGAAAAUUGCUGGAAACUUAUGAUGAUGCUGUAUCAGCAUUCAGAGCAACUUCCUCGAGUUUAUCUUCAUCAGCUGAUGUUAAAUCCGUUCAAGAUGAGACAGUAAAUACACAACUGAGAAGUUUUAUCUCAAACAGUUCAAAAAUCAAAUCUGGUAUCUCAGAUACAAUAAACCUCCUGAGAAUUCUUGGGGAGGGCUAUAGGCAUUUGUGUGAGUAUAGAUGUCAGGAAGCUUUAAAUGUCUAUCAAAAGCUCUCAUCAAAGCAGUACAAUACAGGGUGGGUUCUUUCCCAGGUUGGGAAAGCAUAUUUUGAGCUAGUAGAUUACUUAAAUGCUGAUUACGCCUUUAGUCUUGCACGCCAAAUAUCUCCUUACAAUCUGGAAGGGAUGGAUGUGUACUCAACAGUUCUUUAUCUUAUGAAGGAAGAUAUGAAAUUGAAAUACCUAGCUCAGGAGUUGAUAUCAAUUGAUCGUUUUGCUCCACAAGCCUGGUGUGCUAUUGGAAACUGCUAUAGUUUCCAGAAGGAUCAUGAAACUGCACUCAAAAGUUUCCAGCGAGCUGUGCAGCUAAAUUCAAGAUUUCCAUAUGCGCACACUCUCUCUGGUCAUGAGAAUGUUAUUAUAGAGGACUAUGGAAAUGCAGUGGAGUGCUACCAGAAGGCUCUUCAUGUAGAUGCAAGACAUUAUAAGUCUUGGUAUGGUCUUGGGAUGAUCUAUCUCCGCCAAGAGAAAAUUGAAUUUGCAGAGCACCAUUUUCGCCAGGCUUAUCGGAUAAAUCCUUUCUCGUCAGUUAUCAUGUACUAUUUGGGAACCACUUUAGAAGCAUUAAAGAGAAGUGAGGAAGCUUUGGUGAUGAUGGAGAAAGCUAUUGUCACUGACAAUAAAAAUCCACUUCCAAAGUACAGCAAAGCAAACAUGCUGGUGACACUUGGAAGGUUGAAUGAAGCUUUGGAAAUUUUGGAGGAACUUAAAGAGUGCUACCCUCGUGAAAGUAGCAUUUAUGCAUUGAUGGGUGAAAUUUAUAAACAACAUAAAAAGUACGACAAGUCAAUGCUUCAUUUUGGAAUUGCUUUGGACUUAAAACCAUCUAUAGUUGAUGUUGCUAAAAUACAGAGUAAUCAUGUGAAGCCCUGCAAGGCAUAAGAGUGCUCAUUGGUGGAAACCUUUGGACUGACUCGCUGACAUGGUCGUUCCUUGGGAAGAUGAGACUUCAAGGCUGCCAUUGGAAAGUUAAUUCUACCAGAUGAAAUAGAGGAUAACUUGUAGCGCUUACCAGCUACAAUAUAGUGAAUGUGUACAGAGAUGCUUGAAAGUUAAAUUAUUGAUGGCAAAGCCCCUGAUAUUCUGAGGUACUUGACUUGCUAUGCUCUGUGGUUGUACACUUAUAGAAGUUGGUAGAAGUCAAGAAGACAUCUGCGGACGAGAUUGUAACUUCUUAGUCAUCCCAAAUUGAUUAGAAAGUAAGUAGCUGUUUAAUUUUGUGCUCCAAGCUGACUUGCAAAUAAGACUAGGAUUAGUUUGAUAGCCAUUUAAAUUUCAUGCCUACAAUGCACUUUUUGUUUUUAUCAACAAUGUGUUUGUUGGUCAAUAGUAGUUAAUCCCAAAUGUGGCUUGUUGCCUUUUCAUGCACACAAUUCCAGCAGUUUAAAUUCUAAACCUAUAUGAUUCUGUCA